rnacentral:misc_RNA from 1 species
AACGCAACUUGCACUCUGUUUCGGCAGAGUAUGCCUGUUUGAGAAUCUAUAUAUCAAUACAACGUUUUGUUGUGAUUUGAGCUCUGGUGACAACCUGGCUUUAAAUAUAUAGCUUCGGGCUUUGUAAAUGAUUACGUCCCGAACCAGAGAGAUGAAGGGGUAACCCACUUCCUUUGGGAACUGACUAGUUUAUAAAGCUUUGAACUCACCUAUUAAGUACUUAGUACUGAAACCUAGGUCUCAAAUCAGGUAGGAGGACCCGCUGAACUUAA